rnacentral:lncRNA from 1 species
UCGCACCUGUUUUGAGAUAUUUAUCACCGUAUUUCAACGGUAAAUCCGGAUAAUAUCGAAACCGAGCGCCGCGGGAGCCCAGCAGAAAAGA